rnacentral:rRNA from 1 species
GACGAACGCUGGCGGCGUGCUUAACACAUGCAAGUCGAACGGAAAGGCCCUGCUUUUGUGGGGUGCUCGAGUGGCGAACGGGUGAGUAACACGUGAGUAACCUGCCCUUGACUUUGGGAUAACUUCAGGAAACUGGGGCUAAUACCGGAUAGGAGCUCCUGCUGCAUGGUGGGGGUUGGAAAGUUUCGGCGGGUGGGGGUGGACUCGCGGCUUAUCAGCUUGUUGGUGGGGUAGGGGGUUUCCAAGGUUUUGACGGGUAGCCGGCCUGGGAGGGUGACCGGCCAAAUUGGGACUGGGAUACGGCCCAGACUCCUACGGGAGGCAAGAGUGGGGAAUAUUGCACAAUGGGCGGAAGCCUGAUGCAAGAACGCCGCGUGCGGGAUGACGGCCUUCCGGUUGUAAACCGAUUUCACCUGUGACGGAGCGUGGGUGACGGUAAUGGGUAAAGAAGCACCGGCUAACUACGUG